UUCUUACCACGUUUUUUUGGAGGUGGGGGAAACAGUUGGUGAUGUAUCUGUGUUUUAUUGCCCAGCAACCUGAAAGGAUGGGGAUCGGGGAGAGUCGUUAAAGAGAAGCUCAGAUCAGAGAUACCUGACUGGAAGAUUAAAGUAAGCAAAAGCAGUAGCCACAUGAAACAAGGUUAAUAUGUGGGCUUACAAAGAAGUCCUAACCAUGAUUUGGUCUUUUGUAUGAUAAGAACUCUUUCUAGAAUAUAAGCAUCAUAAGAGUAGUU
rnacentral:lncRNA from 1 species